AUGAUGUUAAUAUUAAGACUUUUGAGUAAAUUAGCUGGGUCUUAUGAACAAAUGGCCUUUAAUCUUGUACUUGCGUCACAGAUCAGCCUUAAUCAACCUGAUAAAAGCACUAAGUGUUGUUUGGUUCUAUAUAAACAACCAUUUCCUUAAGUCUGGAAUUUCAACAAGCUUUUACAAUUAAUUUUUUUUCAAUGUUGUCAAUUUUCGAUUUCAAGAAAAUUAUUUGUGUAAGUGCAUUUAUGACCUUCUGAAAUUUAUAGCAUGUGGUCAAAU